rnacentral:rRNA from 1 species
AGUGAACGCUGGCGGUAGGCCUAACACAUGCAAGUCGAACGGCAGCACAGUAAGAGCUUGCUCUUACGGGUGGCGAGUGGCGGACGGGUGAGGAAUACAUCGGAAUCUACUUUUUCGUGGGGGAUAACGUAGGGAAACUUACGCUAAUACCGCAUACGACCUACGGGUGAAAGCAGGGGAUCUUCGGACCUUGCGCGAUUGAAUGAGCCGAUGUCGGAUUAGCUAGUUGGCGGGGUAAAGGCCCACCAAGGCGACGAUCCGUAGCUGGUCUGAGAGGAUGAUCAGCCACACUGGACCUGAGACACGGUCCAGACUCCUACGGGAGGCAGCAGUGGGGAAUAUUGGACAAUGGGGGAAAGCCUGAUCCAGCCAUACCGCGUGGGUGAAGAAGGCCUUCGGGUUGUAAAGCCCUUUUGUUGGGAAAGAAAAGCAGCAGGUUAAUACCCCGCUGUUCUGACGGUACCCAAAGAAUAAGCACCGGCUAACUUCGUG